GUGAACGUUACAAACUGUUGCCUCGGCGGGAUCUUCUGCCCCGGGUGCGUCGCAGCCCCGGACCAAGGCGCCCGCCGGAGGACCAACCAAAAACUCUUUUUGUAUACCCCCUCGCGGGUUUUUAUAUAUCUGAGCCUUUCUCGGCGCCCCUUCGUGGGCGUUUCGAAAAUGAAUCAAAACUUUCAACAACGGAUCUCUUGGUUCUGGCAUCGAUGAAGAACGCAGCGAAAUGCGAUAAGUAAUGUGAAUUGCAGAAUUCAGUGAAUCAUCGAAUCUUUGAACGCACAUUGCGCCCGCCAGUAUUCUGGCGGGCAUGCCUGUCCGAGCGUCAUUUCAACCCUCGAACCCCUCCGGGGGGUCGGCGUUGGGGAUCGGCUCCCUCUAAACCAGGGUGCCGUCUCCGAAAUACAGUGGCGGUCUCGCCGCAGCCUCUCCUGCGCAGUAGUUUGCACACUCGCAUCGGGAGCGCGGCGCGUCCACGUCCGUAAAACAACCCAAACUUCUGAAAUGUUGACCUCGGAUCAGGUAGGAAUACCCGCUGAACUUAAGCAUAUCAAUAAGCGG
rnacentral:rRNA from 1 species